AUAUUUAGCCUCCUCAUCAUCUUCCUCGGUAUUGCAAUUCUAGUCAUCUUUCUCGCUGUGCAACCACGAACCCCGGCAUUCGACACCCCUGCAGCAACUCUCAACGCUGUCUUCCUCAAUUUCCCCGAGUACAUCAAUGGCGACAUCACAAUUCUAGCAAACUUCUCUAAUCCGAAUAGGAAACUGGGCGUUAGGUUUGAGUACCUGAAGGUGGAGCUCCACUUCUUGGAAAUGGCGGUAGCAACUCAAGUUAUCCAACCCUUCAAUCAGAGCCCCCGGGAAGCACGGUUGAUACCGGUUCAUAUGCUGUCGGGCUUGGUCCAUCUGCCACCGAAUGUUGCUAUGGAGUUUCAGAAACAGGUGCAGAGGAACAGGGUAGUGUACAACAUCAAAGGAAGUUUCAGAGUGAGGAUCAACCUGGGAUUGAUUCAUUACUCUUACUGGCUUCAUGGAGAUUGCCAAUUGGAAAUGACUAGCCCACCAAGCAGCGUACUCAUCACCCACACCUGCAAAACCAAGAGAUGAAUGCUUUGCUUUCUCAAAUUUUACUACAUUACAUUAUUUUCCAGUCCAGCGAAUCAAGGUGUUCUACAUACUCAUAUUAAUUAAUUUGUGUAUUGUUAAACAGAUCAGAUAUAGCAUACCACAACUAUAGUAUUAGGCAUUUUCGAAGAUUACCUAUCUGCAAUUAUGUAUAGCUCUAUUUAUGCUCUAAAGCUUGAAAACAAAGAAAAAGACUUUUGUUUCAUUCAUAAG
rnacentral:lncRNA from 1 species